ACUACCCGCUGAACUUAAGCAUAUCAAUAAGCGGAGGAAAAGAAACCAACAGGGAUUGCCUCAGUAACGGCGAGUGAAGCGGCAAAAGCUCAAAUUUGAAAUCCCCCGGGAAUUGUAACUUGAAGAGAUUUGGGUCCGGCCGGCGGGGGUUAAGUCCACUGGAAAGUGGCGCCACAGAGGGUGACAGCCCCGUGAACCCCUUCAACGCCUUCAUCCCAGAUCUCCAAGAGUCGAGUUGUUUGGGAAUGCAGCUCUAAGUGGGUGGUAAAUUCCAUCUAAAGCUAAAUACCGGCGAGAGACCGAUAGCGAACAAGUACAGUGAUGGAAAGAUGAAAAGCACUUUGAAAAGAGAGUGAAAAAGUACGUGAAAUUGUUGAAAGGGAAGGGCUUGCAAGCAGACACUUAACUGGGCCAGCAUCGGGGCGGCGGGGAGCAAAACCACCGGGGAAUGUACCUUUCGAGGAUUAUAACCCCGGCCCUUACUCCCAUACUGCCCCGAGGCCUGCAAUCUAAGGAU
rnacentral:rRNA from 1 species